GGUUAAGCGACUAAGCGUACACGGUGGAUGCCCUGGCAGUCAGAGGCGAUGAAGGACGUGCUAAUCUGCGAAAAGCGUCGGUAAGGUGAUAUGAACCGUUAUAACCGGCGAUGUCCGAAUGGGGAAACCCAGUGUGAUUCGUCACACUAUCGUUAACUGAAUACAUAGGUUAACGAGGCGAACCGGGGGAACUGAAACAUCUAAGUACCCCGAGGAAAAGAAAUCAACCGAGAUUCCCCCAGUAGCGGCGAGCGAACGGGGAGCAGCCCAGAGUCUGAAUCAGCUUGUGUGUUAGUGGAACGGUCUGGAAAGUCCGACGGUACAGGGUGAUAGUCCCGUACACCAAAAUGCACAGGUUGUGAACUCGAAGAGUAGGGCGGGACACGUGGUAUCCUGUCUGAAUAUGGGGGGACCAUCCUCCAAGGCUAAAUACUCCUGACUGACCGAUAGUGAACCAGUACCGUGAGGGAAAGGCGAAAAGAACCCCGGCGAGGGGAGUGAAAAAGAACCUGAAACCGUGUACGUACAAGCAGUGGGAGCACCUUCGGGUGUGACUGCGUACCUUUUGUAUAAUGGGUCAGCGACUUAUAUUCUGUAGCAAGGUUAACCGUAUAGGGGAGCCGCAGGGAAACCGAGUCUUAACUGGGCGUUAAGUUGCAGGGUAUAGACCCGAAACCCGGUGAUCUAGCCAUGGGCAGGUUGAAGGUUGGGUAACACUAACUGGAGGACCGAACCGACUAAUGUUGAAAAAUUAGCGGAUGACUUGUGGCUGGGGGUGAAAGGCCAAUCAAACCGGGAGAUAGCUGGUUCUCCCCGAAAGCUAUUUAGGUAGCGCCUCGUGAAUUCAUCUUCGGGGGUAGAGCACUGUUUCGGCUAGGGGGUCAUCCCGACUUACCAACCCGAUGCAAACUACGAAUACCGAAGAAUGUUAUCACGGGAGACACACGGCGGGUGCUAACGUCCGUCGUGAAGAGGGAAACAACCCAGACCGCCAGCUAAGGUCCCAAAGUCAUGGUUAAGUGGGAAACGAUGUGGGAAGGCACAGACAGCCAGGAUGUUGGCUUAGAAGCAGCCAUCAUUUAAAGAAAGCGUAAUAGCUCACUGGUCAAGUCGGCCUGCGCGGAAGAUGUAACGGGGCUAAACCAUGCACCGAAGCUGCGGCAGCGACACUAUGUGUUGUUGGGUAGGGGAGCGUUCUGUAAGCCUGCGAAGGUGACCUGUGAGGGUUGCUGGAGGUAUCAGAAGUGCGAAUGCUGACAUAAGUAACGAUAAAGCGGGUGAAAAGCCCGCUCGCCGGAAGACCAAGGGUUCCUGUCCAACGUUAAUCGGGGCAGGGUGAGUCGACCCCUAAGGCGAGGCCGAAAGGCGUAGUCGAUGGGAAACAGGUUAAUAUUCCUGUACUUGGUGUUACUGCGAAGGGGGGACGGAGAAGGCUAUGUUAGCCGGGCGACGGUUGUCCCGGUUUAAGCAUGUAGGCUGAUUGUCCAGGCAAAUCCGGAUAAUCAAGGCUGAGGUGUGAUGACGAGGCACUACGGUGCUGAAGUAACAAAUGCCCUGCUUCCAGGAAAAGCCUCUAAGCAUCAGGUAACAUCAAAUCGUACCCCAAACCGACACAGGUGGUCAGGUAGAGAAUACCAAGGCGCUUGAGAGAACUCGGGUGAAGGAACUAGGCAAAAUGGUGCCGUAACUUCGGGAGAAGGCACGCUGGUGUGUAGGUGAAGUCCCUGCGGAUGGAGCUGAGACCAGUCGAAGAUACCAGCUGGCUGCAACUGUUUAUUAAAAACACAGCACUGUGCAAACACGAAAGUGGACGUAUACGGUGUGACGCCUGCCCGGUGCCGGAAGGUUAAUUGAUGGGGUUAUCCGUAAGGAGAAGCUCUUGAUCGAAGCCCCGGUAAACGGCGGCCGUAACUAUAACGGUCCUAAGGUAGCGAAAUUCCUUGUCGGGUAAGUUCCGACCUGCACGAAUGGCGUAAUGAUGGCCAGGCUGUCUCCACCCGAGACUCAGUGAAAUUGAACUCGCUGUGAAGAUGCAGUGUACCCGCGGCAAGACGGAAAGACCCCGUGAACCUUUACUAUAGCUUGACACUGAACAUUGAGCCUUGAUGUGUAGGAUAGGUGGGAGGCUUUGAAGCGUGGACGCCAGUCUGCGUGGAGCCAACCUUGAAAUACCACCCUUUAAUGUUUGAUGUUCUAACGUUGGCCCCUGACCGGGGUUGCGGACAGUGUCUGGUGGGUAGUUUGACUGGGGCGGUCUCCUCCCAAAGCGUAACGGAGGAGCACGAAGGUUAGCUAAUCCUGGUCGGACAUCAGGAGGUUAGUGCAAUGGCAUAAGCUAGCUUGACUGCGAGCGUGACGGCGCGAGCAGGUGCGAAAGCAGGUCAUAGUGAUCCGGUGGUUCUGAAUGGAAGGGCCAUCGCUCAACGGAUAAAAGGUACUCCGGGGAUAACAGGCUGAUACCGCCCAAGAGUUCAUAUCGACGGCGGUGUUUGGCACCUCGAUGUCGGCUCAUCACAUCCUGGGGCUGAAGUAGGUCCCAAGGGUAUGGCUGUUCGCCAUUUAAAGUGGUACGCGAGCUGGGUUUAGAACGUCGUGAGACAGUUCGGUCCCUAUCUGCCGUGGGCGCUGGAGAAUUGAGGGGGGCUGCUCCUAGUACGAGAGGACCGGAGUGGACGCAUCACUGGUGUUCGGGUUGUCAUGCCAAUGGCACUGCCCGGUAGCUAAAUGCGGAAGAGAUAAGUGCUGAAAGCAUCUAAGCACGAAACUUGCCCCGAGAUGAGUUCUCCCUGAGACUUUAAGUCUCCUGAAGGAACGUUGAAGACGACGACGUUGAUAGGCCGGGUGUGUAAGCGCAGCGAUGCGUUGAGCUAACCGGUACUAAUGAACCGUGAGGCUUAACCUU
rnacentral:rRNA from 1 species